UACGUAGGGUGCGAGCGUUAAUCGGAAUUACUGGGCGUAAAGCGUGCGCAGGCGGUUUUGUAAGCCAGAUGUGAAAUCCCCGGGCUUAACCUGGGAAUGGCAUUUGGGACUGCAAGGCUGGAGUGCGGCAGAGGAGACUGGAAUUCCUGGUGUAGCAGUGAAAUGCGUAGAUAUCGGGAGGAAUACCAGUGGCGAAGGCGGCCUUCUGGACGGAUACUGACGCUGAGGCGCGAAAGCCAGGGGAGCAAACGGG
rnacentral:rRNA from 1 species